rnacentral:rRNA from 1 species
ACCGGGGUUGCGGACAGUGUCUGGUGGGUAGUUUGACUGGGGCGGUCUCCUCCCAAAGCGUAACGGAGGAGCACGAAGGUUAGCUAAUCCUGGUCGGACAUCAGGAGGUUAGUGCAAUGGCAUAAGCUAGCUUGACUGCGAGCGUGACGGCGCGAGCAGGUGCGAAAGCAGGUCAUAGUGAUCCGGUGGUUCUGAAUGGAAGGGCCAUCGCUCAACGGAUAAAAGGUACUCCGGGGAUAACAGGCUGAUACCGCCCAAGAGUUCAUAUCGACGGCGGUGUUUGGCACCUCGAUGUCGGCUCAUCACAUCCUGGGGCUGAAGUAGGUCCCAAGGGUAUGGCUGUUCGCCAUUUAAAGUGGUACGCGAGCUGGGUUUAGAACGUCGUGAGACAGUUCGGUCCCUAUCUGCCGUGGGCGCUGGAGAAUUGAGGGGGGCUGCUCCUAGUACGAGAGGACCGGAGUGGACGCAUCACUGGUGUUCGGGUUGUCAUGCCAAUGGCA